GCGAACGCUGGCGGCGUGCCUAACACAUGCAAGUCGAGCGAGAAAGGGCGCUUCGGCGCCUGAGUACAGCGGCGCACGGGUGCGUAACACGUGGGUGAUCUGUCCUUAAGCCGGGGAUAACCCAGCGAAAGUUGGGCUAAUACCGGAUGCGCCCACCGGAGGCAACUCGGGUGGGGAAAGGGUGCGUUCUACGGAGCGCAAUCCGCUGAAGGAGGAGCCCGCGGCCUAUCAGCUGGUUGGUAGGGUAACGGCCUGCCAAGGCGAAGACGGGUAGCUGGUCUGAGAGGAUGACCAGCCACACGGGGACUGAGACACGGCCCCGACUCCUACGGGAGGCAGCAGUGGGGAAUAUUGGGCAAUGGGGGAAACCCUGACCCAGCGACGCCGCGUGGGUGAUGAAGGCCUUCGGGUCGUAAAGCCCUGUCGGGCGGAACGAAUGCCCCUAAGGUAAAGAGCCUUAGGGGGUGACGGUACAGCCGAAGGAAGCACCGGCCAACUCCGUGCCAGCAGCCGCGGUAAGACGGAGGGUGCAAGCGUUGCUCGGAAUCACUGGGCGUAAAGGGUGCGUAGGCGGUCUCGCAAGUCUGGCGUGAGAGCCCACGGCUCAGCCGUGGAAGUGCGCUCGAAACGGCGAGGCUGGAGUGCCGGAGGGGAGAGUGGAAUUCCCGGUGUAGCGGUGAAAUGCGUAGAGAUCGGGAGGAAUACCGGUGGCGAAAGCGACUCUCUGGACGGCAACUGACGCUGAGGCACGAAAGCGUGGGGAGCAAACAGGAUUAGAUACCCUGGUAGUCCACGCCCUAAACGAUGUCAACUGGUUGUUGGGUCUCACUGAUCCUUAGUAACGUAAGCUAACGCGCUGAAGUUGACCGCCUGGGGAGUACGGUCGCAAGGUAUGAAACUCAAAGGAAUUGACGGGGACCCGCACAAGCGGUGGAUGAUGUGGUUUAAUUCGAUGCAACGCGAAAAACCUUACCCUACCCUUGACAUGCCGGAAUCUUGCCAGAGAUGGCUUAGUGCUCGAAAGAGAACCGUAACACAGGUGCUGCAUGGCUGUCGUCAGCUCGUGUCGUGAGAUGUUGGGUUAAGUCCCGCAACGAGCGCAAACCCUUGUCAUUAGUUGCUACAUUCAGUUGGGCACUCUAAUGAGACUGCCGGUGACAAACCGGAGGAAGGUGGGGAUGACGUCAAGUCCUCAUGGCCCUUAUAGGUGGGGCUACACACGUCAUACAAUGGCUGGUACAAAGGGUUGCCAACCCGCGAGGGGGAGCCUAAUCCCAUAAACCAGUCGUAGUCCGGAUCGCUAGUCUGCAACUCGACUGCAGGAAGUCGGAAUCGCUAGUAAUCGCUGGAUCAGCAAUGUCACGGUGAAUACGUUCCCGGGUCCUUGUACACACCGCCCGUCACACCAUGGGAGUGGGUUCUGCCAGAAGUAGUUAGUCUAAACCGCAAGGAGGGACGCUUACCACGUGCAGGAUUCGUGACUGGGGUG
rnacentral:rRNA from 1 species